AGAGUCGGCUGGACAGUCGCCGUCGCAAUUCGUUCCGCGAAUCGCGAGGGAGGAAAGUCCGGGCUCCAUAGGGCAGAGUGCCAGGUAACGCCUGGGAGGCGCGAGCCUACGGAAAGUGCCACAGAAAACAACCGCCUAAGCGCUUCGGCGCCGGUAAGGGUGAAAAGGUGCGGUAAGAGCGCACCGCACGGCUGGCAACAGUCCGUGGCUAGGUAAACCCCACUCGGAGCAAGACCAAAUAGGGAUCCAUUGGCGUGGCCCGCGCUGGAUCCGGGUAGGUUGCUAGAGGCGUCCAGCGAUGGCCGUCGUAGAGGAAUGACUGUCCUCGACAGAACCCGGCUUACAGGCCGGCUCUCCCC
rnacentral:RNase_P_RNA from 1 species